rnacentral:lncRNA from 1 species
CAUGGACUACAUAAUCAACGAAGAGGAGGAAAACCAGCUCAGAAUUAUGACCUCGAUGCUAUAUUUAAAUGACGACGACCAGGAAACCUUAUCAUAUACAUUGCAUGUCCAUUCGAGUGAUUGCAGAACCACCGAGGGAAUCCUUGUGAAUGCUGAGUUGGUGCAGUGGCCAUAUGCAUGAAUUGAUUACCACCCAGUAGUAGAUGCCUGACAAAGACAGUCGAAAGAUGCACAUUUAUGGGCCUAUAGACGAUGUUAUGCCAUCUCAGUCGAUACAUGUAUACUUCCCAUCCAACGUCCCGUGACAUCCCAUGGGGCCUUUCGAGCCAGUCCUCAUGCACGACGGCCACCAGAUUUAACCAGCAGCAAAUCAUAG